CUACCCCGCGAAACUACGCGGACGCGUUGACUAUCAUGUAGGUGAGUGUCGAUGCGAUAUAUAAUAAUCACCGACUAUUUGGAUACCAGCUGCAGCGGAAGACCUGGACCAUAAUUCUUACAACUAAAAAGUGUUACACGAUCAAAAGUUCUUCUGAUUAGAUAAAAGUGUGAAAUUUAUUAAACGAUCUGUAAAAACGGGUAUCAGAUUCACAGUCAAUCGAAUAAUAAUCUCCACCGCACAUAAAGGGCGGGUGUAUAUACAAAAUAAAAGUAAGGCUGCAGCUCUAGACGAACCGCAUGAAAAUGGGAGAGGAGAUGCGGCGGUCGAGGUUCACCAAACUUCUUCCGUUACUCUGCAUCUUUGCAAUAUGUGUCGCCGGGGCAAGCGCCCUUCAAGGUGAAGAGACUUCGAAGGCUGGGAAGGCGGAUAUUGCGAGAGUACAGCGAGACUUGGACGG
rnacentral:misc_RNA from 1 species